AUGCCUUCUCGUCUUCCACCCAUCCUAAUUACACCCAUCCUUCAGGACUAAGCUCCAAACAAUUCUACUUUUUCUGAAUCAGGACCAAGGGAAAUUUAGAAUGUAGCAAUUACUCUAUUGUUAUUUAAUUUUUAAUUGCUUAAGUCUUAUCUGCCCAACAAGAUUAUCAACUUCUUCAAGUCAGACUUGUCGUACACAGAUCUAUACAAAUAAUAAAUACUAAAAGUAUUUAAUUUGAAAAAAGAAAAAGCUUAUUCAAAGGUGGUAACCACUCCAUUUUCCACUAAGCUCCAGAAAGGGAAGAUUUCAAAUAAUAAUUUAAGACAUGAGAAAAGGGUCACUAUAACUUCAUUUUUCCAACAAGGGAAGGGACUUAUGCGGCAGUCAAAGAGAAU
rnacentral:lncRNA from 10 species